rnacentral:lncRNA from 1 species
AUUUGUGUAUCUCGAAAGGGUUAAAGUGAUCACAGAGGAGAUUGGGGCUGAUGACAGUAGAGCCAUUCAAAUGGCUGGGUUCACGCUUAAGUGCAAGAAGGCACGAGAGUGGUUCAAGAAUUAUGUGAACCCGAGAGUGGACAGCAUGUCUUGGGAAGAGUUUGCAAACGAGUUUGCAGGAUGGGCUUUUCCCGAUAGUUCAAGGGAGCUGAAAAUGAUAGAGUUUGAACAGUUGAGGCAGAC